CCUUUUAUAGGGAAGGAUGGACCACGCUGCGUGCAAGACUGCAGCACCGCGCAGGCACUAGGCUGCCGCAGUCCAGCAGGGACCACCCGCCUUCCUCCCGAACGGUUCCAGGAUGGACAUCGGUACCAGCCCUGCGCCGGCCAGUCGUGCCCAGGCAAGCGUUUUUCAUCGUCAUGGAGUACAUGGGAGCAGGGACGUACCCGUGACCAGGCACCAGCACUGCGCCAGCCAAUAUGUGGGAAAGCAGACUCGUGACCAACAUCGUGGAAAAACGAGCGGGCAUGUUGCCUCUGGUAAAACUCGUCCGCACAUAGGAGAGAGACCGGGAGACACUGAGAGAGGAACAGAUACAUCCUGGUGGCAGCAAGAUCACACGGCGGCGCACCCUCGUCAGCUACAGCUUCCCUCUCCCUGUAAUCCUUAGCCCCCUGUCAUCUGAGUGCGCCGUCCCCUUCAAGGCACAGCCGCCGGCGACCUCUCCUUCACCAUCACCGUGUCCCCACCCUGAGCUCCGACCUACCCACCAUCUCAAGCAGGUCCAGAUCCGCCACGGCUCCCGCAGCCACGCGCCAGCAGACCAAGCAGGCGUGCAGGUGCACGACGUGUGGUUACUCUUCCACUCUCGUGGCCACCAUUCUGCUUCCUCCCCUCCCAUGGUUCAGCAGCAGCAGCAGUGACAAGCGAUUUGGAGGGAACAAGCUGAGCAAUUGCAGCCAUCGUCCUCGCCUAGGAGGAGGAGGAGGAGCUUCAUCACAUGAGCAGCAGCUUAGGUAGGAUAUGAAGCCGUGGCCCUUUAAGGUCAUCCCUGGCCCCGCCGACAAGCCCAGGAUCGCCGUCGACUACAAGGUGUACCCAUGCAAUGCUUGUUUCCUUGAAUCAGAAGCUCGAUGCAAGCAAAUUGCAGUAUUUAACUGAAUGUGUUUUGAUACCAUUCUCCGAUUUAGCUAGGGAAAACAGAUUGAUGUUUUUUGUGCACGCUAUUUCUUCAGAACUUGUAUGUCUUUGAUCAAAUAACUUUUAUGAUA